rnacentral:misc_RNA from 1 species
GGAGUGGUCAUAACAGCUGUAGUUAUAGCUUCUCAUGCUUUUGUCGCCCUUGUAGCAGCCCCGGCAUGCACUGCUUGCAUCCCUUCAAAAAUGGCAAAAAAAGAACUGGUCCAUCUGGCGCAAUUGGAUGUUGCAACAAAGGGUAUCUUUUUCCUCCACAAUCACUUAGAAACAGUAAAUUGUUUGGUGGGCCGAUUAUAUGAUGCAGUGGAGUUCUACAAGCGUCUUGUUCGCUUUGCACUAGAGAGAGGAAAAGACCGAUACCCUAUCCAGGAGGUAGUGAAGCAACUUCACAGGAAACAUAGCAAUUUUUUGGAAGAGCUUCUGGGACUUGAGGAGCAUUUGUGCCUAUGUUUUGC